rnacentral:misc_RNA from 1 species
UCCGGCUUGUCACCGGCGGUUUCCCCAGAGUGCCCAUCAUAACAUGCUGGCAACUGAGGAUGGGGGUUGCGCUCGUUGCGGGACUUAACCCAACAUCUCACGACACGAGCUGACGACAACCAUGCACCACCUGUGAACCAGCCCCAAAGGGGAAGGACUGUUUCCAGCCCGGUCCGGUCCAUGUCAAGCCUUGGUAAGGUUCUUCGCGUUGCAUCGAAUUAAACCACAUGCUCCACCGCUUGUGCGGGUCCCCGUCAAUUCCUUUGAGUUUUACCGUUGCCGGCGUACUCCCCAGGCGGAGAACUUAACGCGUUAGCUGCGACACCGAGAGGCAAACCCUCCCAACAUCUAGUUCUCAUCGUUUACGGCGUGGACUAC